GGGUAAGUAAAUAUUUUUGGUUUAAUAGUUAGAUUUAUUAGUUUUUUAUAAUUAAUAUUUUUAGGUGAAAUUUUAAUUUUGAUUAUAAUUGAUAUGAUUGAAGCUAUGAAAUUUAUUUUAAAAACAAGGAUUAGAUACCCUUUUUUUUAGAUGUUAAUAUUAACCAGGGUAGUAGUAGUUAUGUUCUUGAAACCCAAAGAAUUUGGCGGUAUUUUAUUCUUUUUAGAGGAACCUGUCCUGUAAUCGAUAAUCCACGAGGGUCAUUUACUUAUUUUUGUUUUCAGUUUGUAUACCUCCGUCAUAAGAGUAUCUUUUUAGAGUGAAUAUUCUAUUGUUAUAAAGUAUAAAAUGUCAGGUCAAGGUGCAACUUAUGAAUAAGAAGAGAUGGGUUACAAUAAAUUUAUUUAUAUGGAUUAUAAUUUUUAUUUUUAUAUGAAGGUGGAUUUAAAAGUAAAAUUAAUAUCUUAUUAAUUUGAUUUUAGCUCUAAAAUAUGCACACAUCGCCCGUCGCUCUUAUUUUAAAAUAAGAUAAGUCGUAACAUAGUAGGAGUAUCGGAAGAUGUUCCUAGAAAGUUUA
rnacentral:rRNA from 1 species